rnacentral:rRNA from 1 species
UACAGAGGUCCCAAGCGUUGUUCGGAAUCACUGGGCGUAAAGGGUGCGUAGGCGGGUCUUUAAGUCAGGGGUGAAAUCCUGGAGCUCAACUCCAGAACUGCCUUUGAUACUGGGGAUCUCGAGUCCGGGAGAGGUGAGUGGAACUGCGAGUGUAGAGGUGAAAUUCGUAGAUAUUAGGAAGAACACCAGUGGCGAAGGCGGCUCACUGGCCCGGUACUGACGCUGAGGCGCGAAAGCGUGGGGAGCAAACAGG